rnacentral:ncRNA from 1 species
AUUCAAGCGUUGAAGGAGACAAGUAGUUAUAGGCUGUGUCAUAGAGAGCUUGUGGAUGGUGGAAACAAGUCACAAAAUAUAAUGAAUACACUCUGGAGCAUCUAAGUGCAAAGCUUAGACGGUGGCAACACCGUUAUCAAUAAGAGAGUAUGUGUAAACAUAAAUAAAGGUGGUACCGCGAGAAUUCGUCCUUUGG